CUUAAAANAAGAUUAGCAUGGCCCAUGUGCAAGAAUGACACGCAAAUCUGUGAAGCAUUCCACAAAAAG
rnacentral:snRNA from 1 species